rnacentral:rRNA from 1 species
UACAGAGGUCUCAAGCGUUGUUCGGAUUCAUUGGGCGUAAAGGGUGCGUAGGCGGCGUGGUAAGUCGGAUGUGAAAUCUCGGAGCUUAACUCCGAAACUGCAUUCGAUACUGCCGUGCUUGAGGACUGGAGAGGAGACUGGAAUUUACGGUGUAGCGGUGAAAUGCGUAGAUAUCGAGAGGAACACCUGCGGCGAAGGCGGGUUGCUGGGCUGACACUGACGCUGAUGCGCGAAAGCCAGGGGAGCGAACAGG